AACCUUAAGUUUUUUUGCUUCCCCCCCCCUUGAUGAUCAUGGUCCUUUCAGCCAGAUGUUUUCCAUCUGUUUGAGAAAAAAAAAUUAAAUGAGGAAAAAGUGUACUCCAAUCAAUUUAGAAAAAUCAACCGGUUGUCAAUAAUUACUGGUCCUCUAGAAGCCACACCCUGCUUCUUCUUCUUCUGUUAUGGUGCCUUUGUUUUGGUCAUGUCUUCCUUGUUACUUUUCUCUUUAUGGCAGCAUUAUAUUUUUUAAAUAGAGACUACUGUUCAGGGUAGAUUUUUUUUUUUUUUUUUUUUUUUCUUUUUUUUUUGCCUUUAUUUGAAGGUAUGUUUUAGCUGCUAUUAAUGUGACUCGACUAGCAGUUUUAGCACUGAUUAAAGUGAUAUCUUUUUUUUAAAAAAACAUUUUCACUUUUUAAGUAGUACGACUCAUAUAGUCAUUGAGAUUAAUCAUUUUUCGUUAACUUGCCCUGAAACAUAUUUUUCUUUUCUAUUUGUUUAAAAAAAAAAAUAAAGCUGUUACUGUGACAAAAAUUUACUGUAUAAAAAUCAUGAAGAAAUGAACAGCUUAAUGUAUGAAAUGGCUUGUAAGUAGAGUUAAUGUAAAGUUUUGGCCUGCCAGGGGUGUGCCAGAGGUUAAAAGGUAAACUAAAAAGUGAAAAUGCUUUAACAUAUCACAGUGAAGGUUGUACAUUUCUAAACCUAUUUAAUUCACUUUGUGCAGAUGUGUUUAAUUUGAAUUCCCGUUGUAUAUUUUAACUAUUUAUGUGAUUGCAUUCUGUGUAAAUUUAUGUAGAAAUGUUAUGCACACUCCACCUAACAUGUUUAAUGGUCCUCGACUUUUUGUGUGUAUGAAAGUUGACCUGCGUUGACCUGUCAUGAAGAAUAAAAAGCCAACACUGUAUACACUGA